UAUCUUUAAAUUUAUUAACUUUUUUCAUGUUCAUCACAUAUGUCCAUACUAGCAUAAAAUUAAACAAAUAAGUAAUUGGUUAAAUUAUAAUAAAAAUGGCUGGACUAGUUCGUGAUUAGACUACGAAACAAGCCUUAUUAUCUAUUUAGCUGGCCGAACCGUUGUACCGUCAAAGGCGGCGAAUAUUGAUCUAUUCCAUCUGCUGUUUCUCACCUACCAUCAAUAUGGUUAUAGAUCAAGUUAUACUU
rnacentral:lncRNA from 1 species